CCUGCCUUGCGUACUAUGUGUCCACACCUUUCCCUAGUGCAUCUGGCCACCCCACUGUGAUCCCAUGUCCCACCCCUCAACUACCUACCCUUCCUCAGGUGCCAUCUGGGAUUAUUCUCCAGAAUAAGGCUGGGGGUACUCCCACCACCCCACAGACAUCCACCACCCUGGGGACCCUCACCAGUCCUACUGCCUCUGUGCUAGUCAGUGGACAGGCACCACCUGGGACUCCUGCUGCCUCUAGCCAUGCCCCAGCCUCCACACCUAUGGCCACCACAGGUCUCCCUCCUCUACUUCCUGCCGAAAACAAAGCUUUUGCCAGCAACCUUCCAACCCUGAGUGUGGCCAAAGCUACUGUGUCUGGGCCAGGGAAGUCCCCAGCGAUGCAGUAUGACAGCAAGUUGGGUAGCCUGAAGAAACAGCCCCUUCUGCAACCCAGCAAAGAAGCCUGGUGAGUACAGCUACCUACCCCAACAUAUCUGCCCCACUCCCACCGCUCCUCAAAGCACCGCUCCAACCAGUGUGUGGAUUCCCCUUUGAUCUCAGUUUUCCUUCUGCCAA
rnacentral:lncRNA from 1 species